rnacentral:tRNA from 1 species
CGGGGUGUAGCUCAGCCUGGCUAGAGCGCUUGGUUCGGGACCAAGAGGUCGCAGGUUCAAAUCCUGUCACCCCGA